rnacentral:piRNA from 1 species
GGAAGGCACAGAAUCUGUGAAAAUGCGCCA